GGUUGAAUCCAUUUUUUUUACAUGGAUACAAUAUGAUUUGCAGCGGGACAUUAAACUGAAUUUAUUCAUUUGAUCAAAGCAAUUUUAUUAAAUUAAGCAUGGUUUGCACAUGCGCAUUGCUGAGUUGGAGUGCCGCUCUCUGACCACCUGACCUGUUUAUUUAAAGAAUUUUUUAAAAAAAACGUCCGUUAUAGUUGAACUGUGUGUUAAGCGGCGGCCGCAGUAACUUAUACUUCAACAGACCCCUCCAGGCUGGCUGAGAGACACAGAAGAACUACGAGCAACUCUGAAGAAGCUUCAGGGAAGCAGCCACCAAUCAGUUGUUCCUGCUGUGCAAAUUAUUUGGAAUCUCCUGCCAGUGAUCAUUGCUUGUGGAUAAUGAGGUUGAAGAACUGGAGCGGACAACCAUGGCGAUCUUUAUCACUGGGAAAGAGGAUCCUCUCCAUCCACCUAAAGACGGUUGCUGGGCUCAUAUAUACACUAAACCUAAAAUAUCCAAAAAGGCUACAGUUCACCUUUGAAUUUGUGCAAAAUGUCCUGAUGGAGCUUGAUGGAAUAAAGAUGACCCCAAAAGUCACUAGUACAGGGAUUAAUUGUAUAAUUGCAUAAUUGUUACAUUUUAUUGUGUUUUUACAGCCAAGACUUUAGAUCCUUUUAAUAAAAAGGUUGUACUAACAAGGCUGCAUUUUCACUGCAGCAUUUACAAAUGUGGCUGCCCAAGUUCGAUGGCUACCAGGUACAAAGGUUGAAUAAGGCCAAGUCUUAUGAACAACUGAAGAGACUGAUUGCAAUGUUUCAAGUAUUUCUGCUGUCAAUCUUCAUACAUUUGAAGCAAAUGUUCAAUGUUGUGAGUUUAUUGAACAAUAAAUGUGUUCUAAAGGAAAAGUGUUCUGAGUAGUCAUUGAUUAAAAUUUAUUGAAAUCAUUAAUUAAAUAAAAUAAUUAAUUUAAUCAGACCUAUAAAAAUUAGUUUGUUCCAAACUAAAAUAAUUAAUUUAAUUUAACAUAUACAUAUUAGUUUAGUUGGUUUGUUCUAAUUUAAAAAAAUUAGUUUGUUCCAACCUAAAAUAAUUAGAUUGAUCAACCUUUAAAAAGUGGUUUGCAUGGAUUUAAAAUUUUCAAGUUAAACUAAAUUAAAUUAUUUACAUUGAGUCAAUGUCAAAUGUUUCGUGUGAUUGAUUACUUCAAUUUUUUUAAGUUGAUAC